rnacentral:rRNA from 1 species
AUUGAACGCUGGCGGCAGGCCUAACACAUGCAAGUCGAGCGGGGUUUUCGGACCUAGCGGCGGACGGGUGAGUAAUGCGUAGGAAGCUACCCGAUAGAGGGGGAUACCAGUUGGAAACGACUGUUAAUACCGCAUAAUGUCUACGGACCAAAGUGUGGGACCUUCGGGCCACAUGCUAUCGGAUGCGCCUACGUGGGAUUAGCUAGUUGGUGAGGUAAUGGCUCACCAAGGCGACGAUCCCUAGCUGGUUUGAGAGGAUGAUCAGCCACACUGGAACUGAGGCACGGUCCAGACUCCUACGGGAGGCAGCAGUGGGGAAUAUUGGACAAUGGGCGCAAGCCUGAUCCAGCCAUGCCGCGUGUGUGAAGAAGGCCUUCGGGUUGUAAAGCACUUUCAGUAGGGAGGAAGGGUUAAGUGUUAAUAGUACUUAACUUUGACGUUACCUACAGAAGAAGCACCGGCUAACUCUGUGCCAGCAGCCGCGGUAAUAC